AUGCAACCAUGGAUGACCCUCUCGGUCCACCAGCUCCCAUGCCCAUCCUUGCGGUCUUGCCCCACCAUGGAGUAUGCCGCCGCCUCCGCCUUUCCCCACGCAUCUCUUUCCCAGCAACCUGAUGCUGCAAGGAGGGGGAGGGCUAGUCAGCCAGGCGAGUGCGCGCGGACGCGACCUGCUAUGAGCUGUAGUGUGAGGACGGCGGGGCUACUCCGACCAGCACUGCCCUGCUACAGCCCCGUGCGUGGAUGCUACAAUCGGCGUCUCGUUCUGCUACGACGCAUUACGGGCGUCGAUUUUUUUGCUACAACCAUGCUGACUUUUGCUACAAGCGGCAUUUCGUUUUGCUACUACGACCCACCGGCGUCGGCAGUUCGAGGACGGCGGCGCUGCUCCGACGAGCAAUGCCCUGCUAUAAGCACCGCGCAUGAUGCUACAACCGGCGUAGCAACCUGCUACAACCAGCGUCUCCUUCUGUUACAACGCAUCGCCGGCGUCGAUUUUUUGCUACAACCACGUCAGCUAUUGCUACAACCGGCAUUUUCUUUUGCUACCACGCACCACCGGCAUCUGUUUUUUUGCUACAAUUACGUUGUUUUUUGUUACAACUGCGUUGCUAUUUGCUACUACGACCCACCGGCGACGGAGAAAAAGCUGCGACCGGCAACUUGUUUUUGCUCGGACCGGCGGCGAUUUUUGCUGCAGCUGGCAGAGUUAUUUGCUGGGACGGUGGUGGUUGCUCGUUUUUGUGCGGGGCCGGCGAGGCUGCACCAGAGACGGCGAGGUGAGCUACAAUGGCGAGUAUUGCAACCGACAACGGCGAGGGCCACGAACGACAUGGGCGUGAUGCGUAGAUCAUGA
rnacentral:rRNA from 1 species